ensembl:snoRNA
GAGGAGUGAUGAUGCUGAGAAAAGGUUUCGCUUAACAAGCUGAUGAUGUCACAUGAUGUCACAACUUCUCUUGGCUGUCUGACCAA